CAGCAGCCGCGGGAAUACGUAGGUGGCAAGCGUUAUCCGGAAUUAUUGGGCGUAAAGCGCGCGUAGGCGGUUUUUUAAGUCUGAUGUGAAAGCCCACGGCUCAACCGUGGAGGGUCAUUGGAAACUGGAAAACUUGAGUGCAGAAGAGGAAAGUGGAAUUCCAUGUGUAGCGGUGAAAUGCGCAGAGAUAUGGAGGAACACCAGUGGCGAAGGCGACUUUCUGGUCUGUAACUGACGCUGAUGUGCGAAAGCGUGGGGAUCAAACAGGAUUAGAUACCCGUGUAGUCCCUGUCUCUUAUAC
rnacentral:rRNA from 1 species